UACAGAGGGGGCAAGCGUUGUUCGGAAUUACUGGGCGUAAAGGGCGCGUAGGCGGCCUCUUAAGUCGAACGUGAAAUCCCCGGGCUUAACCCGGGAACUGCGUCCGAUACUGGGAGGCUUGAAUUCGGGAGAGGGAUGCGGAAUUCCAGGUGUAGCGGUGAAAUUCGUAGAUAUUCGCAAGAACACCAGCGGCGAAGGCGCACUCUGGGCUGGACUGACGCUGAGGAGCGAAAGCGUGGGGAGCGAACAGG
rnacentral:rRNA from 1 species